GCCAGGCGUGGUGGCGCAUGCCUGUAAUCCCAGCUGCAAGGGAGGCUGAGGCAGGAGGAUCGCUUGAGCCCAGGAGGCAGAGGUUGCAGUGAGCCGUGAUCACGCCACUGCAGUCCAGCCUGGGCGACAGAGCAAGACUCCAUCUCAA
rnacentral:SRP_RNA from 2 species